rnacentral:rRNA from 1 species
UACGUAGGGGGCUAGCGUUGUCCGGAAUCAUUGGGCGUAAAGAGCGUGUAGGCGGCCCGGUAAGUCCGCUGUGAAAGUCGGGGGCUCAACCCUCGAAUGCCGGUGGAUACUGUCGGGCUAGAGUGCGGAAGAGGCGAGUGGAAUUCCUGGUGUAGCGGUGAAAUGCGCAGAUAUAAGGAGGAACACCGAUUGCGAAGGCAGCUCGCUGGGACGUCACUGACGCUGAGACGCGAAAGCGUGGGGAGCAAACAGG